UUGAAAGGGAAACGAUUGAAGUCAGUCGUACCGACGAGAAAUCAGCUUUUCGAAUGUGCAUUUGUGGGCGUAUGAGAUCUUCAUUGUUUGCAAUAUGUAUGUUUCUUUGGUGUACUUUUUCGUAUGGUAGGUCAACGUCGGUUUUGGUCGCCAUAAAAUGAUCGGAGGAAUGUAGCUUCGACCUCGGUUGAAGUGUUAUAGCCUUUGGUAAAUGUGGUGAUUAAGACCGAGGAUUGCAACGAAUACCUUUUAGGCUAUCCGUCUGACCUCUGAAGGUUACUUAGGUGCCGAAAGCUUGCUUACGGUCAUUUAAGUUGACGGUCAAUAGGUUAGAACGUGAUUACAUUCGUUAAGGAUGUUGACGUA
rnacentral:rRNA from 1 species